GUAAACGAUGAGUGCUAGGUGUUAGGCCCUUUCCGGGGCUUAGUGCCGCAGCUAACGCAUUAAGCACUCCGCCUGGGGAGUACGACCGCAAGGUUGAAACUCAAAGGAAUUGACGGGGGCCCGCACAAGCGGUGGAGCAUGUGGUUUAAUUCGAAGCAACGCGAAGAACCUUACCAGGUCUUGACAUCCCAGUGACCGCUCUAGAGAUAGAGUUUUUCUUCGGAACACUGGUGACAGGUGGUGCAUGGUUGUCGUCAGCUCGUGUCGUGAGAUGUUGGGUUAAGUCCCGCAACGAGCGCAACCCUUAUUGUUAGUUGCCAUCAUUCAGUUGGGCACUCUAGCGAGACUGCCGGUAAUAAACCGGAGGAAGGUGGGGAUGACGUCAAAUCAUCAUGCCCCUUAUGACCUGGGCUACACACGUGCUACAAUGGUUGGUACAACGAGUCGCAAGUCGGUGACGGCAAGCAAAUCUCUUAAAGCCAAUCUCAGUUCGGAUUGUAGGCUGCAACUCGCCUACAUGAAGUCGGAAUCGCUAGUAAUCGCGGAUCAGCACGCCGCGGUGAAUACGUUCCCGGGCCUUGUACACACCGCCCGUCACACCACGAGAGUUUGUAACACCCGAAGUCGGUGAGGUAACCGUAAGGAGCCAGCCGCCUAAGGUGGGAUAGAUGAUUGGGGUG
rnacentral:rRNA from 1 species